CUCAUCAGGGGCCCGGUCAGGUGCUGUAGCACUUUGGCAGACCAGGCCCCUAUAAUGUUGCAGAGAGUGCUGGGAUGCUGGGAGGAAGUGACUGUUACUUCCUCCCAGCAUACAGACCACGCGGGCUGACAGGACACUGAAGAAGCAACUGAGAUAGGAGGAGGAGGAGGCAGGAGAAAGAGCCCUGCAGCUUCUCCUUCAGCAAGCCCC